rnacentral:ncRNA from 1 species
CUACGGACUUAAGUAAAUUGAGCCUUGUUAGAGUAAUCUAUCAAGUGUAAGCUCUCAAAUUCAGGGAAACCUAAGUCUAGUUAAUAGAUAGGGCAAUCCUGAGCCAAGCUGGAAUCGUAAGAUUUCUGAAGGUGCAGAGACUCAACGGGAGCUACCCUAACAGGAUAAGCUGAGGGUAAAGAGAGAGUCCAAUUCUCAAAGCUGAGGU